rnacentral:lncRNA from 1 species
GUAGUAGUAGUAGUAGUAGUAGUAGUAGUAGUAGUAGUAGUAGUAGUAGUAGUAGUAGUAGUAGUAGUAGUAGUAGUAGUAGUAGUAGUAGUAGUAGUAGUAGUAGUAGUAGUAGUAGUAGUAGUAGUAGUAGUAGUAGUAGUAGUAGUAGUAGUAGUAGUAGUAGUAGUAGUAGUAGUAGUAGUAGUAGUAGUAGUAGUAGUAGUAGUAGUAGUAGUAGUAGUAGUAGUAGUAGUAGUAGUAGUAGUAGUAGUAGUAGUAGUAGUAGUAGUAGUAGUAGUAGUAGUAGUAGUAGUAGUAGUAGUAGUAGUAGUAGUAGUAGUAGUAGUAGUAGUAGUAGUAGUAGUAGUAGUAGUAGUAGUAGUAGUAGUAGUAGUAGUAGUAGUAGUAGUAGUAGUAGUAGUAGUAGUAGUAGUAGUAGUAGUAGUAGUAGUAGUAGUAGUAGUAGUAGUAGUAGUAGUAGUAGUAGUAGUAGUAGUAGUAGUAGUAGUAGUAGUAGUAGUAGUAGUAGUAGUAGUAGUAGUAGUAGUAGUAGUAGUAGUAGUAGUAGUAGUAGUAGUAGUAGUAGUAGUAGUAGUAGUAGUAGUAGUAGUAGUAGUAGUAGUAGUAGUAGUAGUAGUAGUAGUAGUAGUAGUAGUAGUAGUAGUAGUAGUAGUAGUAGUAGUAGUAGUAGUAGUAGUAGUAGUAGUAGUAGUAGUAGUAGUAGUAGUAGUAGUAGUAGUAGUAGUAGUAGUAGUAGUAGUAGUAGUAGUAGUAGUAGUAGUAGUAGUAGUAGUAGUAGUAGUAGUAGUAGUAGUAGUAGUAGUAGUAGUAGUAGUAGUAGUAGUAGUAGUAGUAGUAGUAGUAGUAGUAGUAGUAGUAGUAGUAGUAGUAGUAGUAGUAGUAGUAGUAGUAGUAGUAGUAGUAGUAGUAGUAGUAGUAGUAGUAGUAGUAGUAGUAGUAGUAGUAGUAGUAGUAGUAGUAGUAGUAGUAGUAGUAGUAGUAGUAGUAGUAGUAGUAGUAGUAGUAGUAGUAGUAGUAGUAGUAGUAGUAGUAGUAGUAGUAGUAGUAGUAGUAGUAGUAGUAGUAGUAGUAGUAGUAGUAGUAGUAGUAGUAGUAGUAGUAGUAGUAGUAGUAGUAGUAGUAGUAGUAGUAGUAGUAGUAGUAGUAGUAGUAGUAGUAGUAGUAGUAGUAGUAGUAGUAGUAGUAGUAGUAGUAGUAGUAGUAGUAGUAGUAGUAGUAGUAGUAGUAGUAGUAGUAGUAGUAGUAGUAGUAGUAGUAGUAGUAGUAGUAGUAGUAGUAGUAGUAGUAGUAGUAGUAGUAGUAGUAGUAGUA